rnacentral:rRNA from 1 species
GACGAACGCUGGCGGCGUGCCUAAUACAUGCAAGUCGAACGCAGUGGGGACGGGUGAGUAACACGUUGGUAACCUCCCAUCAGAGGGGAUAACACUUGGAAACCGGUGCUAAACCGAUACUGAUGGAUGGACCCGCGGUGCAUUAGCUAGGUGGUGAGGUAACGGCUCACCAAGGCCACCUUGCAUAGCCGACCUCAGAGGGGGCUCGGCCACCCUGGGACUGUGACACGGCCCGGACUCCUACGGGAGGCAGCAGUGGGGAGUCUUCGGCAAUGGACGAAAGUCGGAGCGAGCAACGCCGCGGGAGUGAAGAAGGUUUUCGGAUCGUAACACUCUGUUGUUAGAGCAGCGGUAUCUAACCAGAAAGCCACGGCUAACUACGUGCCAGCAGCCGCGGUAAUUC